GACGAACGCUGGCGGCGUGCCUAAUACAUGCAAGUCGAGCGAAGUUUUUCUGGUGCUUGCACCGGAAAAACUUAGCGGCGAACGGGUGAGUAACACGUAAAGAACCUGCCUUAUAGACUGGGACAACUAUUGGAAACGAUAGCUAAUACCGGAUAACAGCAUUAACUGCAUGGUUGAUGUUUGAAAGUUGGUUUUGCUAACACUAUGAGAUGGCUUUGCGGUGCAUUAGCUAGUUGGUGGGGUAAAGGCCUACCAAGGCGACGAUGCAUAGCCGACCUGAGAGGGUGAUCGGCCACACUGGGACUGAGACACGGCCCAGACUCCUACGGGAGGCAGCAGUAGGGAAUCUUCCGCAAUGGGCGAAAGCCUGACGGAGCAACGCCGCGUGAGUGAAGAAGGAUUUCGGUUCGUAAAGCUCUGUUGUUAGGGAAGAAUGAUUGUGUAGUAACUAUACACAGUAGAGACGGUACCUAACCAGAAAGCCACGACUAACUACGUG
rnacentral:rRNA from 1 species